rnacentral:rRNA from 1 species
AUGAACGCUAGCGACAGGCCUAACACAUGCAAGUCGAGGGGCAGCACAAGGAGCAAUCUGAGGUGGCGACCGGCGCACGGUGAGUAACACGUAUGCAACCUGCCUGUAAGCGGGGAAUAACCCGUUGAAAGACGGACUAAUACCGCAUAAUACUAAAUUACUGCAUGGUAAUUUAUUUAAACAUUUAUGGCUUACAGAUGGGCAUGCGCAUGAUUAGCUAGUUGGAGAGGUAACGGCUCCCCAAGGCAACGAUCAUUAGGGGUUCUGAGAGGAAGGUCCCCCACACUGGUACUGAGACACGGACCAGACUCCUACGGGAGGCAGCAGUGAGGAAUAUUGGUCAAUGGACGAGAGUCUGAACCAGCCAAGUCGCGUGCAGGAAGAAUGUCCUUAAUGGAUUGUAAACUGCUUUUGCAGGGGAAUAAAGUGCAUCACGUGUGAUGUUUUGUAUGUACUCUGCGAAUAAGGAUCGGCUAACUCCGUGCCAGCAGCUGC